rnacentral:SRP_RNA from 16 species
CCGCAGGGAGGUUAUCCCCCGCAGGGAGGUUAUCCAGCACAGGGAAGUCCCCCAUCGCAGGGGAGACAGCCGGAGAG